GGAAUUUCAUCAUCAUGUCCUAUGAUUGGAAGAUUUUCACCAAACAAUAGACGACGAGUGGAGCCUUUGGUAGCGAUUGAAUGGACAGACAGCAUGCAAACCAUGAGUAUACAACAUACUGAGAUCAUGGCCAUCGUUUUCUUGGUAAGAGAACUCAACAUGAGGUUUGGAGAGAAAUAAGAACAAACUGGUGGUCUGGAUUAAGGAUGCUUCUUCAAUCAUCAAUUAAAUUUACUAAAAAUAUAUAGCCUUGUUUGAAUUAGAGCCCGAAGAAAAUGUUCGUUGAUAACGAAGGAGUUUGCGGAUGGCCGUCUCUUAUCGCUAAUUUGCUAUAGACUUGGGACGAAUGUGAAAGCAUUUGAGACAGGUGCGGUCGUUGGAAAUAAUCCGUCAGAAAUUGUAUGUGCAUCGGAUGAACAUAAUUAAUUUUACGUAGGAAGUGAUUUUAAAAUUUUUAUUGAA